CCUACGGGAGGCAGCAGUGGGGAAUUUUGGACAAUGGGCGCAAGCCUGAUCCAGCAAUGCCGCGUGCAGGAUGAAGGCCUUCGGGUUGUAAACUGCUUUUGUACGGAACGAAACGGUCCUUUCUAAUACAAGGGGCUAAUGACGGUACCGUAAGAAUAAGCACCGGCUAACUACGUGCCAGCAGCCGCGGUAAUACGUAGGGUGCGAGCGUUAAUCGGAAUUACUGGGCGUAAAGCGUGCGCAGGCGGUUAUAUAAGACAGAUGUGAAAUCCCCGGGCUCAACCUGGGACCUGCAUUUGUGACUGUAUAGCUAGAGUACGGUAGAGGGGGAUGGAAUUCCGCGUGUAGCAGUGAAAUGCGUAGAUAUGCGGAGGAACACCGAUGGCGAAGGCAAUCCCCUGGACCUGUACUGACGCUCAUGCACGAAAGCGUGGGGAGCAAACAGGAUUAGAUACCCUGGUAGUCCACGCCCUAAACGAUGUCAACUGGUUGUUGGGUCUUCACUGACUCAGUAACGAAGCUAACGCGUGAAGUUGACCGCCUGGGGAGUACGGCCGCAAGGUUGAAACUCAAAUGAAUUGACGG
rnacentral:rRNA from 1 species